UGAUACAAGUUACAAAAGAGGUGGUUUCCAAGUGUUCGGAAAAUUGGGAAAUUUGCAAAGAAAUUUUGGAUCUUCACAUCACUGCAGGCGGCAAAGAUGUCGAAAAGAUUCUGUCGGAUCUGGUCCUGUCUCACCCACUAUCAACCGAGCAAAAACAG